GCGGGUCUGCUGGAGUGGACGAACAGGGCGGUCUCCAAAACCGCUAGGCGAAAGCCUCACAGGGGUUCGAAUCCUCUGGCCCGUGCCA
rnacentral:tRNA from 1 species